AUUGAACGCUGGCGGCAUGCCUUACACAUGCAAGUCGAACGGCAGCACGGAGCUUGCUCUGGUGGCGAGUGGCGAACGGGUGAGUAAUAUAUCGGAACGUACCCAAGAGUGGGGGAUAACGUAGCGAAAGUUACGCUAAUACCGCAUACGAUCUAAGGAUGAAAGCAGGGGAUCGCAAGACCUUGUGCUCCUGGAGCGGCCGAUAUCUGAUUAGCUAGUUGGUGAGGUAAAGGCUCACCAAGGCAUCGAUCAGUAGCUGGUCUGAGAGGACGACCAGCCACACUGGAACUGAGACACGGUCCAGACUCCUACGGGAGGCAGCAGUGGGGAAUUUUGGACAAUGGGGGCAACCCUGAUCCAGCAAUGCCGCGUGAGUGAAGAAGGCCUUCGGGUUGUAAAGCUCCUUUGUCAGGGAAGAAACGGUCGUGGCUAAUAUCCAUGGCUAAUGACGGUACCUGAAGAAUAAGCACCGGCUAACUACGUGCCAGCAGCCGCCGUAA
rnacentral:rRNA from 1 species